rnacentral:rRNA from 1 species
UGGAGAGUUUGAUCCUGGCUCAGAUUGAACGCUGGCGGCAGGCCUAACACAUGCAAGUCGAGCGGUAGAGAGGAGCUUGCUUCUCUUGAGAGCGGCGGACGGGUGAGUAAUGCCUAGGAAUCUGCCUAGUGGUGGGGGAUAACGUUCGGAAACGGACGCUAAUACCGCAUACGUCCUACGGGAGAAAGCGGGGGAUCUUCGGACCUCGCGCCAUUAGAUGAGCCUAGGUCGGAUUAGCUAGUUGGUGAGGUAAUGGCUCACCAAGGCGACGAUCCGUAACUGGUCUGAGAGGAUGAUCAGUCACACUGGAACUGAGACACGGUCCAGACUCCUACGGGAGGCAGCAGUGGGGAAUAUUGGACAAUGGGCGAAAGCCUGAUCCAGCCAUGCCGCGUGUGUGAAGAAGGUCUUCGGAUUGUAAAGCACUUUAAGUUGGGAGGAAGGGUUGUAGAUUAAUACUCUGCAAUUUGACGUUACCGACAGAAUAAGCACCGGCUAACUUCGUGCCAGCAGCCGCGG